rnacentral:piRNA from 1 species
UCGUCGUGCCACUGUGCCUACUCUGCC